rnacentral:rRNA from 1 species
GAGUUUGAUCUUGGCUCAGGAUGAACGCUAGCGGCAGGCUUAAUACAUGCAAGUCGAGGGGCAGCAGGUCUGUAGCAAUACAGAUGCUGGCGACCGGCAAACGGGUGCGGAACACGUACUGAACCUUCCUUUAAGUGGGGAAUAGCCCAGGGAAACUUGGAUUAAUACCCCGUAACAUAAUGAAGUGGCAUCACUUUAUUAUUAUAGCUCCGGCGCUUGAAGAUGGCAGUGCGGCUGAUUAGGUAGUUGGCGGGGUAACGGCCCACCAAGCCUACGAUCAGUAACUGGUGUGAGAGCACGACCAGUCACACGGGCACUGAGACACGGGCCCGACUCCUACGGGAGGCAGCAGUAAGGAAUAUUGGGCAAUGGACGCAAGUCUGACCCAGCCAUGCCGCGUGGAGGAUGAAGGUCCUCUGGAUUGUAAACUUCUUUUAUAUGGGACGAAAAAGGGUCUUUCUAGAUCAACUGACGGUACCAUAUGAAUAAGCACCGGCUAACUCCGUGCCAGCA